UGAGGGGGCCAGCCCUGAAGCCUAAACAUGCAAGUCGUACGAGAGUUUUUAACUCUAGUGGCGGACGGGUGAGUAACACGUGAGAAUUUACCUUUAGGAGGGGGAUAACAAUUGGAAACGAAUGCUAAUACCCCAUAUGCUUUCGAGUGAAAUGGAUUUAUAUUUAUUCGCCUAGAGAGAAGCUCGCGGCUGAUUAGCUUGUUGGUAAGGUAAGAGCUUACCAAGGCGACGAUCAGUAUCUGGUUUGAGAGGACGAUCAGACACACUGGAACUGAGACACGGUCCAGACUCCUACGGGAGGCAGCAGUGGGGAAUUUUCCGCAAUGGGCGAAAGCCUGACGGAGCAAUACAGCGUGAGGGAAGACUGCCUAUGGGUUGUAAACCUCUUUUUUCAGGGAGGAAUAAAUGACGUGUACCUGAAGAAUAAGCAUCGGCUAACUCCGUGCCAGCAGCCGCGGUAAGACGGAGGAUGCAAGUGUUAUCCGGAAUCACUGGGCGUAAAGCGUCUGUAGGUGGUUUAAUAAGUCAACUGUUAAAUCUUGAGGCUCAACCUCAAAAUCGCAGUCGAAACUAUUAGACUAGAGUAUAGUAGAGGUAAAGGGAAUUUCCAGUGGAGCGGUGAAAUGCGUAGAUAUUGGAAAGAACACCGAUGGCGAAAGCACUUUACUGGGCUAUUACUAACACUCACAGACGAAAAGCUAGGGUAGCAAAUGGGAUUAGAUACCCCAGUAGUCCUAACCGUAAACUAUGGAUACUAGAUGUUGAACAGAUCGACCUGUGCAGUAUCAAAGCU
rnacentral:rRNA from 1 species